rnacentral:misc_RNA from 1 species
GGUUGUUGUUGUGAUAAUCUUACACAGAAACGCGGAUAACAUUAUCCAAAUUUUACGGUAUCUGACCAUCGGUCAGUGUAUACUGUAAACUGUGCGUUACAUAAUGCUUCUUCCACCAUUACAUUAAAGACUCUGUGCAUUACAUAUUUACGUACACAAUUCAAAUGCAAGUCCUACCUGUUGAAUAAUCGUGUUUAUUUAUGCUGUAAUUAACUUAAUUGUUUUGCUGACGGAUCGACAGCAUAGCGGUGGCUUCGAUCAAUUAGCUUACGUUGACUGACUUUGGCGUGUGUGGUUUUGAUUGGGUCUCCGAAGCGUUGCGUUAUUAUGCGCAGACGAAAAUCGUUUUGAUAUUUAAUAAUUACAUUGAUUGGUCUUUUCGAAUGUGCACGUUUUCAAGGGCAUCCCGUGUUAUGACCAUUAUGGUGGGGUAGCAUAAUUGAGGUCUAGCACUCAGUCCUCAUGCAAACAGUCUGUACUAAGACCCGUAAAAUCUUUAUAAAUCCGUAGAGAUGGAAGGUAUCAAUGUGGAGUUUACAAACAUAUCUUCAAACGUGAAUAUUUGGGAUUCUAGGGCGAUGAAGACCUUUAGGCCUGAGAAAAAAACCAUUUUAAACAAUGUCAGUGGUUUGUUCCGCAGAAACCAAGUGGGGGCCAUAGUAGGAUGUUCAGGUUCUGGAAAAUCAACCCUUAUGAACAUUUUAUCGGGUUAUAUGUCAAGUGGUUACCAGGGAACUGUAACUUUAAAUGGAGCACAGCGAGAUUUGCUAUCAUUUAGGAAUAUUUCUAGCUAUAUCAUGCAAGAAGAUCAUUUACAAUUGUAUUUGACUGUUCAAGAAUCCAUGGAAAUAGCUAUGAAACUUAAACAUUCAACCAUUAAGUUAGAUAUUCAAAAUAAAAUCUCUAUUAACAAUUUAUUACAUAAUUUACUUUUACAUGAAAAACGAGAUACUUUAGUUUAUAAUUUAUCUGGUGGUGAAUGUCGACGAUUGACCAUGGCUUUAGAAUUAGUUCGCAGCCCAAAAGUUAUGUUUUUUGAUGAACCUACCACAGGUCUAGAUAUUGUGUCUGCAAACAAUGUUGUUAAAAUUAUGCGAAAAUUGGCAGACUCUGGAAAAACCAUAAUAUGCACUAUUCAUCAAGCUUCAGCUUAUCACUUGACUACUUUUGACACUGUUUAUGUUCUUACUCCUUCUGGUCAAUGUAUGUACAAUGGAGAAUCAUCGCAAAUAGUUGACUAUUUUUCACAUCUUGGAUUUCAAUGUCCAAUUUAUCACAAUCCUGCUGAUUUUGUGAUUGAAUUAAGUUUGGGUGAAUAUGGAAAUUCUAUAGAUACUCUGAUUAAGCUUGUUAUUGAUCAAAACCUGAUUAGUAAAGACAUAACUGAUAAGAGUAUUAACAAUGUACCUAUAAUAUAUAGUCGAGAAUAUUCAUCAAAAUAUUUUUCUGAACUUUGGAUACUUAUGCAUAGAACUUUGCUCACUACUUUUAGGGAUCAUUUUCUAGUCAAGGUAAGACUUUUUGUUCAUUUCUUGCUGGGUAGCAUGUUUGGAAUUGUUUACAUUGGACUUGGGAAAAGCGCUAUGCAUGUUCGAGAUAAUGCAGUGUUACUAUUUUUCUGUGUGAUGUUUAUGACAUAUGUUGCUGCAUUUACCAUGUCUAUAAAAUUUCCAUUGGAAUUAUCGGUAAUGCGAAAAGAGUAUUUCAACCGAUGGUAUUCAUUAAGUUUAUACUACAUAUCUGUGACACUUGUAGAUCUACCAGUUCAAAUAUUCUGUACGUUCCUAUUUUGUUCACUGAUAUACUUGUUAUCUGGCCAGCCUUUUGAACUCUUUAGAAUCUCAAUGUUUCUAUUGAUAUUCAUUGUGACUGGACUUAUGUCACAAGCAAUUGGAAUGUUAGUCAGUACUUUGUGUAAGAGUUUUGUUAUCAACACAGUUAUAGUUGCUUUGAUAUUAAUGUUUUGGACUACUUAUGCUGGUGGUAUGAUAAGAAUAUCAGAUACGCCUAAAAUAUAUCGGUGGUUAUAUGAUAUUUCAUUUAUGAAACAUUCUGUGCAAGGUGUACUACAUUCAAUAUAUGGUUUUGAUCGCACUGUGUUGCCUUGUCCGGUUGUUAGAAGUUUGGGGGAAAGAAGUAAGAACUUAAACGCAUAAGUAUUGAUUUUAAUUUCAUAUUAGACAUCACAUCAUAUGAUGAUGUGAGACAUGGGUAAUAAAUGAUACUGAAAAAAAUCUAGAAGUUUUUGAGCUGUGAUGCUGGAAAUAUAUGGAAAGGCUAAACUGGAUAGAAUGGAAAAUAAAUUAAAUACUUAGAUUGUGGAAUUUUCUUCCACAUACAUUCAUAGAUACAAUUAGAGUAAAACAUUGGAAAUUAGUUAAUCAUUGCCCUAAUAUACUCAAAAGAACUAUUUAAUAUAGUAUUAGAGGAUAUGAUAGAAGAUAAAAAAACAGCUGGAUGAACUUGGAACUCUUAUGUAGGACAAAUUAAAUGUGAUGACCUUUAAGGAGCUUAAAGAAAAGAUGUUUUGUCAGUAUGGUUCACCGAAAGUAAUGCUUAAAACUAUUGAUAUGUACGAAAAUUUGUAUUGGAUAAAUGUCAGCUUUAUCAC